CCCUGCCACACAAGACCGACAACGUUAUGCCUACCGAGUCUUUAAAAUGGAUUCGUUGUAAGAGUGAGAGAACUUACAGAAUCUUGAGAUUUGCAAGCUUGGUUGGAGAGUUUGGAGAGGGAAGGAGGGAUGGUGCCAGUGAGGUUAUUAUGGUAAAGAUCAAGGCUCACAAGACUCUUGAGCCCACCAAACUCUUCUGGAAUGGGUCCUUCCAAGUUGUUCAUGUAUAGUUCCCUGUCACCAUUACCACAUUAUCAGGGAAACCCACCCACCAUAUUUACUGAUCCGAAUCGAAAUUUAUGUUCCGUCUUAAUAAAAAUUAUGGUCGACUAGGAUGAGACUUGAACCUGAAACCUUCCUAACAGUCUCUUAAAAGAAGAAAGUGAACUCACAGAUACUGAAGAUGCUCCAGCUUCCCCAACUCCGGUACCAGAUUCCCCGACAGCUUUGCGUUUCCCAGAUCACUGUCACCAGCUAUUCACUUUUUAAUACCCAAUUCCAUAAAUGUACAUGGUACUACUAACCAUAUUAUUGUAUGAAUAUUUUGUCUACUUUGACAAGUUUUCGAACAAACUCUGGUACGUCAAAGAAGUGUGAACACGUACAAUGGACCCACCCCAGAUGCCAGAACCAUAUUUUAUUUUACGAUAUUCUGUGCUU